CUACGGGUCGCAGCAGGCGAGAAAACUUUGCAAUGUGCGAAAGCAUGACAAGGUUAAUCCGAGUGGUUCCUGCUAAAGGAACCUUUUGUCGGUCCUAGAAACACCGAUGAAUAAGGGGUGGGCAAGUUCUGGUGUCAGCCGCCGCGGUAAAACCAGCACCUCAAGUGGUCAGGAUGAUUAUUGGGCCUAAAGCAUCCGUAGCCGGCUCUGUAAGUUUUCGGUUAAAUCUGUACGCUUAACGUACAGGCUGCCGGGAAUACUGCAUAGCUAGGGAGUGGGAGAGGUAGACGGUACUCGGUAGGAAGGGGUAAGAUCCUUUGAUCUAUUGAUGACCACCUGUGGCGAAGGCGGUCUACCAGAACACGUCCGACGGUGAGGGAUGAAAGCUGGGGGAGCAAACCGGAUUAGAUACCCGUGUAGUC
rnacentral:rRNA from 1 species